GGGCAAAAUUGUACAUCAAAUAACAGGGCAAUAAUGAAAUCACAACCUGGGUCUACUAGCAUGGAUGCUGAAAGCCAGAUUGCAGAGACCCUUAAACAUGCACCAGGUCUGGUUAGGAGAAAGGCUAAUCGAUCAGUUACUCCACAUUUACAAGAUGGCUCAUUGGACCUCUUCUCAUAAUUUUAAGUAAGUAUUCAGAGACUCAGCCUUAUGGGUAAAGUAGCCUAGCAUUUCUGUACGUAUGACUGGAGCUCAAACCUGGCUUAUGUCACCCUACAUCUUUUUCUUUCAUAUCUGUACUACCAUGUUAAAAUAAGGACCUAAAAUAAAAAAAAAAUAAAAACUUUUUUUUUUAAGUCUGAAAAGACCACGCUAAUGUGAUGUUUCUCUCAGGAGUCAGGUUUCAUCUUUGUCUCUCUUUUCUAACUUUUUCUAUUGGCUGCGCUCUGAUUGCGGAUAUGUUUCUUGUUUCCUUUCAUUUCUCGGUAACACUUUACAAUAUGGGUGCACAAAUAUGCAUUAAAUACUGCUUAACUAAAGCACAGAUAAUCAUGAGUUAAAGUAUAACUCAUGAUGAACUAAACCAAUGAUUACUGCAUCAGCAACAAAUGAACAUUCUAUAUGAUUCAUAGAAUAAGUAAUCAAUAAAUUGUUAUUAGUUACAUGUGUCAUAAAGUAUUAAUUCCCUAAUGACAUAUUAUAUUAACUAACAGUGUAAAUUCAUAUGUUAAUUACCACAUUGGGUCGAAGCCAUGCCUUUCAACUUCCAGUUGUCUGCUUCAAUUAAUCAUUAGCUAAUAAUUUGCAUGAGUAUCAUUAUGUCAUGACGGUAACACUUUAGAAUAGGGAACACUUAUUCACUAUUAACUACGACUUUUCCCUCAAUAAAUUCCUAAUUGGCUGCCUAUUAAUAGUAAGUAAGGUAGUUGUUAAGUUUAGGUAUUGGGUAGGAUUAGGGAUGUAGAAUAAGGUCAUGUAGA